GGCUAGCUUCCUUUUCCUUAUAAGUUGUGCCCCACUUAUAUAUUUGGCAAGCUUAUGAUCUUACUAACAAUGGUACUAAUGCGACAUCUAUAGCCCUGCCCUGCGAAUUGCUUUUGUUAUGUGCAAGUAUGAGAUCUGAUGUUGUAGGAACACAAUGUAUUUUUACACCCACUGCUUUAAGAUGCUUUUGUACACGCCCCUGCAUAUUGCUGUUCUACUAUGGAGGCUUCUUAUGCCUGGUGCUUGCUUCUAUUAACCAACUCUGUUGAUAGACUGCCAUCAAAUGAAGUACGGUACAGAUGAGACAUUCAGCAAUGACUACCUAAUACCACCGUCUUCAUGUCUUGGUCUUUUCAUCUGGCAGUAGAUACAAGACUCAGCCUAAUGUUAAGAGACAAGUGCUAUAUCUAUGAUGCAUCUCUCCUAAUACAACUUGGUUUAUAAAGCCAAUGUUUGAUCUCUACCAGCACAAGAAGCUUGAUGAGCAAGAAGCACUAGAACUGGAGGCAAAAGGCUGUAGCUUUUCUGUUCUGUAACACCAUUCUAGCCAAGUUGAUGGAGUUUCUAAUGUCACUGCUUGUUGAGCUGUGAUUUAUUUUCGCCGUUCAUAAUCAGUCUUGCCCAUGAUGUACCACAAAUGAUCCUCUAAUGCAAUGUAACACUUGAUAUGUAUUUAUGUCUCUUCUGUUGGUUCA